rnacentral:rRNA from 1 species
GGCUCAGAACGAACGCUGGCGGCGCGCCUAAUACAUGCAAGUCGAGCGAGAAGGUGUAGCAAUACACUUGUAAAGCGGCGAACGGGUGAGGAAUGCAUGGGUAACCUACCCUCGAGUGGGGAAUAACUAGCCGAAAGGUUAGCUAAUACCGCAUACGUUUCCGGAACUUCGGUUUCGGAAAGAAAGCAAUACCGUGGGUAUUGCGCUCAUGGAUGGGCUCAUGUCCUAUCAGCUUGUUGGUGAGGUAACGGCUCACCAAGGCUUCGACGGGUAGCUGGUCUGAGAGGACGAUCAGCCACACUGGCACUGCGACACGGGCCAGACUCCUACGGGAGGCAGCAGUAAGGAAUAUUGCGCAAUGGACGAAAGUCUGACGCAGCGACGCCGCGUGGGGGAUGAAGGUCUUCGGAUUGUAAACCCCUUUCGGGAGGGAAGAUGGAGUGGGUAACCACUUGGACGGUACCUCCAGAAGCAGCCACGGCUAACUUCGUGCCAGCAGCCGCGGUAAUACGAAGGUGGCAAGCGUUGUUCGGAUUCACUGGGCGUACAGGGAGCGUAGGCGGUUGGGUAAGCCCUCCGUGAAAUCUCCGGGCCUAACCCGGAAAGUGCAGAGGGGACUGCUCAGCUAGAGGAUGGGAGAGGAGCGCGGAAUUCCCGGUGUAGCGGUGAAAUGCGUAGAGA